rnacentral:rRNA from 1 species
UACGUAGGGGGCUAGCGUUGUCCGGAUUUAUUGGGCGUAAAGAGCGUGUAGGCGGCCAAGGAGGUCCGGUGUGAAAACUCGAGGCUUAACCUCGAGAUGUCAUCGGAAACCAUUUGGCUAGAGUCCGGAAGAGGAAAGUGGAAUUCCUGGUGUAGCGGUGAAAUGUGCAGAUAUCAGGAAGAACACCAAUGGCGAAAGCAGCUUUCUGGGACGGUACUGACGCUGAGACGCGAAAGCGUGGGGAGCGAACAGG